rnacentral:lncRNA from 1 species
AACGGUGUAAGCUUUUUUAUGAUAAAAAAAGUUGUUUAUUUCCAAACGAAUGAUAAAUGUUAUUCAAUAUGCAGUCAGUGCAUAGCCGCCAUUUUGAAAAGCAUGAGGUUUAUCCGCCCUUUUAGGUCUGAGAAACAACAUGAAAAUUCAAGCAGGUAAAUACGUUUGCAUGUAUUCGAAUACAAGAAUAAUCAAGUAAAUGGUAUUUGAAAAAGAUAUUUAUUACUUUUAUGUCUACAAAUACGGAGAAAUUUGUUAUUAAAUGCACUUAAUGCAUACGUCACGUAAAAUAUAUAUCACAGGUGCAUUACGCUUGUUUUCAGCUUGUUUAAUAUUCCCUCCAAAAAUAUCAUUUAAUAGAUACAAUCACUUCUUUUCAUUCUACUAUUUUCAUCUUAAUUUCGGACAACUUUACGUAUUGUGUCGCAUAUAACUGAAAAACUUUUCUUAACAUAUGUCCAAAUAUGUAAGAAUAUUGUUCAGAUAUGAAAAAAUCGGGUAUUGGAUAUAUAAACUUUUGCACAUAUAUUAGUAAGUUUUUCACCCUUUUUAUUUGUACAAUUCUGAACAAUAUUGAACAGUACCACAUUUACAAUAUAAGGAUGUGGUAAUAUCUGUAUGUGCUUUGCAAUUGAAAUUCCAGAUGAAAGCUUUGGACGCAAUUAAUUUAUAAACUGUGGUUUUCAUAUUCCUUAUACGGAUGAUAGAAGGUCUUGUAAUUAAAUAUAUAAUACAUAUUGGUAUACUUAUACUAAGAAAAAAUGAUAUUUGAUUAAAAUUAUAAAAAGAGUGUGUCAAUUUGCUGUUAUUCGUUAAUAUUACUUUGCACAAAUUAUAAAUAGUGUAUUUUUAUGAAAUAUCCUUCACUAGAUUUUGUUCACUGACGUUUCAGAGAGCCAAACUAAACUAAAAAGGUCAAGUAAGGACUUAACAAAAUAUCAUUCAACAAUACACAAUUUUAAAUAGAUAUAAGAGUAUAAAUUUGUUAAUGCUAUUUUGAGAUUUAAAUGCACUUGUUCAUUCACACGAAUAUAUAAAUAUAUUUGCUAAAAAUUUUCAGCAUAAAAAUCUAUUUCUAACACUGUUUGGUGUAAUUUUCAGAGUUAUAUUGUGUGUAAAACUAUUAUUAGUACUCUACAAAAUGUCAUUUAUAAAUAAUAUCACUGUUUGGGUUUCAAUUCUGGAAAAAUUAAAACGCAAAAUUAUGAUCAAUUUAAAAAACAUUUUAGGUCCCAACCCAAUUAAUUAUUGAGACUUUAAUUAAAUAAUAUAAGUGAUGGUAGCAAGAAUGAUAUUAUCUCCCUUGAAAUGAACUUGCUAAUGAAUUAUCAUAAUUGUAUAUUGAUAAUGAACAUUUUAUCUUCAGAACCACUUUUAUUUGGUUUUGUAACAAAAACACAUACUGGUACCUGCAUGCGUCCAUGCUCAAUUCAACUCUACUUUAAUGUAUCAAAUUUUAACCAAAAAAAGUUUCGAACUUUAUAUGUCCCCCUUUAACCUUUGAUAUCCGUUCUCAUUAAAUUGUAAUAAGAUGACUAGAGGCCAGCUAAGCAAAUAUAUAUUUAUAUACAUAUCAAGAGGAAAAACCAAACACACAUAGUAUGGUAUGAGGAAACAGCAAAAGCUAUAGUAAGGAUUUCAAGAAUUUACUUCAACCCCCACCCAAUGAAUCAUUUAAAAGAAAACUCAGAAGAUAGAUGACAGAAGAUGAGACGAAACCGAUAUAAGAAAAAAAUUAGAUAACACCAAACCGAAGUAUGGUUUAAAUGGCACCAACAGUACCAAUUUUACUACAACUGUUCGAUAACUACCAUUGAAAUGGGCACAAGCAUUUUUGACAUUUUUCGUCCUUCUCCUCAUUAAAAGAAUAACUACUCGUUUGCCUAAAUGUCUAAAAAUGCAGCUUUGGGCAUGCUUUUGGGAUUUGUUAAUUGAUUAACGGUUUUACAACCAAAAUAUUGAAAUCUCUAAUGCAACAGAAUGGACUGUGAUCUAAUGAAUUUGGUAGACCUUUUAAAAUUAGACUUGGUGUGAGUUCAGUUGAAAUCGGCACUACUCAUUUAUUUUACAAUGACAGAACAGGCAGUAACGAAUUAUUUACGGACUAAAAGUAUUCCUCUAUUGAGUUGGGAUCAUUGACUUGCUGCAGUGCUCUCUUUCGACGUCUUUCACACGGAAAAUAUCUAAAUAGUAUGCAAAAAAAGAUGAAAAUCUUACUCGAAUAUCAGAUGAAAUAUGGAAUGCUGACCAGUUUAGUGUGUUUUUAAGAUGCAUUUGUCCAUAUGGCCGUAGCUUAGCGAGAAAGAAUGCAUGAGACACAAAAAUCUGACAUACUUUAUAACAGUUUGGCAUGGUUUUAUUAACUAAAAAUAAUGUUUUUUCAUGAUUGAAAGUCUUGUUAUAUUAAAGAAGUCUGAGCCGGAAAAUGAAAGAAAGUAGGGGAAAUAAAACACUUCCUAAUUGUACAAUGUGUCAAUUAUAUCAGUGAAGUGUUCCAGGAUACUAAUGUGCAAAAUGAGCAUGGGCUUCAAAUAGUAUUAAAAAACUCAAAGUUAACAAAACAAUUUAUCUUUCAGGCAUGCCUAUUUUAGUAACCAUCGUCAUGAUAAACAUAAACUGUUAUUUUGUUUUGAAGAAAAAUUUUCGUUUUCCAUACAGAAAAUCCUUAUAGCAGCAAAUAGGACUAUAUUUCCAUAAAAAUGAAGACCCUUAGAAUAGUUUAUGGAGUUGAAGGUUAUUGAUUCAUUGGUGUAUACCCGAUAAUUACAGAAAAGGGACAACAGAAUUGCCAAACUAAAUUCCAGGAUCCGCUGUAAGGAUGAUAUUCCGUUUAAUACAGAUACCACCUCAAUCUGAUAUAUUUCUGUCGACUUACAGUCAUGCUUCUUAUAAAAUUCAUGAGAUUUUCUAAGUUUUUUUUAUUUAUCUUCUUAAUCGAUUGAUGAAAUUCCUUACUGUUGUCAAUAUAUCCUAUUAAACUGACACAGUCAAUUCUAGCCCCUAGCACACCAGAUUCAGGUUAAAUCUAACCUGAUCAAAUGUUUAAGACAACACUGCCCGAGGAAAUGAAGACCAGAAUAACAAAAAUAAUAAUCUGGGAAUGCAUCAGCGAGAAUUUGACAUUCAUUUAGCUACUGUUCUAUAUCUAGCAAUAUGUACUCUUGAGGAAAGUGUUCUAAACGAAAUCGCGCUUGUUGUGCUUACUGAUAAACCUGGUAUCAUUGAUGGAGUUUUCCCCUUCAAAACGAUGAAAUACAGUAGUGUAGGGUUCUUUCUUUUUUGUUUUUAGAUAUCUUUUUUUAUCUUAACUGGAUAUUUUCAUUAUUUACAUGCUUGAUAACUAUUUAGUUGAGAUUCCAAUUACCGACAAUAAAACCAUGUAACUAAAUCUGCGAAACUUAGUAGUAAAUAGGGUGCUUAGGGUAUAAUAGAAAAGAAGGCAGGCAACGAAAUGCACUUGUCAUAUAAUAUAAGAUAGACAAAAAACAUCUUACUUGACUUUAACGGUAUUUGAUUCGCGAAUCAAAAUGAAAUUAUUAUGACCCAAAAUGAAGAAAAUGCUUAUACAUUAAAAAUAACGUCGUCUAUAUCACAUAGAUAAAACGUUAAGCCGAAAGUAGAUUGCUGAUGUUUGAAUCUCGUAACUCGAUUUUAAAACGACAAAUCAAGGUAACACACAUAAACUGGGGGAAAACUAGAACUCCAAAAAGGAGCAAAAAGUUGUGCGUCGAAAAGGUACGCACCUCUUACUAUACAUGCGCGAAGCCAAACUAGGUCAAUGAACUCCAAAAGGAGCUAGAACUGGUGCGUCGACAUGGUACGCAACUCCUACUAUGCAUGCACGAAUCCUAACUCAGUCAAAUUUCUUAAUCAAUUAAGAUUGCAAGGUACUCGAUAGUUAUCAAAGGUACCAGAAUUAUAAUUUAAUAUGCCAGACGCGCGUUUCGUCUUUAUAAGACUCAUAAGUGAAGAUCAGAUCUAAAUAGUUAUAAAGCGAAACAAGAACAAAGAAGAAGGGCAUUGGGGACCCAAAAUUCCAAAAAGUUGUACCAAAUACGGAUAAGGUAAUCUAUUCCUGGGAUAAGAAAAUUCCUUAGUUUUACGAAAAGUUAAAAGUUUUGUCAACAGGGAAUUUACUAUAAUGACAUAUCUUCAUAUUAAAAUGUGUUCUUUUAUAAGUGUUAUGCAUGUUCACUGAAGGAAUGUAUAGUUCAGAAAGUUUGCUAAAUAUAACGUUGUCCGAUGAAAACCCUGGUUUCAAGUAUAGAAAAAUUAAAAAAUGAAUAGCAAUUUAGUUAUGAAAAAGAUAUGGAAAAAGAUUGUAUGUUUGACAAUGUACUUAUUUCGAAAUUUGAAUAAAACUGUUUGCUGUCUAAAGAAAUAAUAUACCUGAAAAUGCCG